rnacentral:rRNA from 1 species
CCAGACUCCUACGGGAGGCAGCAGUGGGGGAUAUUGCACAAUGGGGGGAACCCUGAUGCAGCGACGCCGCGUGGGUGAAGGAGUGCUUCGGCAUGUAAAGCCCUAUCGGCAGGGAAGAAGCAAGACGGUACCUGACUAAGAAGCCCCGGCUAACUACGUGCCAGCAGCCGCGGUAAUACGUGGGGGGCAAGCGUUAUCCGGAUUUACUGGGUGUAAAGGGAGCGUAGACGGCUGCGCAAGUCAGAGGUGAAAGCCCGGGGCUCAACCGCGGGACUGCUUUUGAAACUGUGUAGCUAGAGUGCAGGAGAGGUAAGUGGAAUUCCUAGUGUAGCGGUGAAAUGCGUAGAUAUUAGGAGGAACACCGGUGGCGAAGGCGGCUUACUGGACUGUAACUGACGUUGAGGCUCGAAAGCGUGGGGAGCAAACAGGAUUAGAUACCCGAGUA